GACGUAGGGCGCGAGCGUUGUCCGGAUUUAUUGGGCGUAAAGAGCUCGUAGGCGGUUUGUCGCGUCGUCUGUGAAAACCCACGGCUCAACUGUGGGCUUGCAGUCGAUACGGGCAGGCUAGAGUUCGGUAGGGGAGACUGGAAUUCCUGGUGUAGCGGUGAAAUGCGCAGAUAUCAGGAGGAACACCGAUGGCGAAGGCAGGUCUCUGGGCAUUAACUGACGCUGAGGAGCGAAAGCAUGGGGAGCGAACAGG
rnacentral:rRNA from 1 species